GGUUCUAUAGAUUAGUGGUUAGCAUGCCUGCUUUACACAUAGAAGGUCCUGGGUUCAACCCCCAGUGGAGCCA
rnacentral:tRNA from 1 species